GGUCAGGACGAACGCUGGCGGCGUGCUUAACACAUGCAAAGUCGAGCGAUGAAGCUUCUUCGGGAAGUGGAUUAGCGGCGGACGGGUGAGUAACACGUGGGUAACCUGCCUCAUAGAGGGGAAUAGCCUUCCGAAAGGAAGAUUAAUACCGCAUAAGAUUGUAAUAUCGCAUGAUAUAGCAAUUAAAGGAGUAAUCCGCUAUGAGAUGGACCCGCGUCGCAGUUAGCUAGUUGGUGAGGUAACGGCUCACCAAGGCGACGAUGCGCAGCCGACCUGAGAGGGUGAUCGGCCACAUUGGGACUGAGACACGGCCCAGACUCCUACGGGAGGCAGCAGUGGGGAAUAUUGCACAAUGGGGGAAACCCUGAUGCAGCAACGGACCCGCGUGAGUGAUGACGGUCUUCGGAUUGUAAAGCUCUGUCUUCAGGGAUGAUAAUGACGGUACCUGAGGAGGAAGCCACGGCUAACUACGUGCCAGCAGCAGC
rnacentral:rRNA from 1 species